CCCUUGGUAGCUCAGUUGGCAGAGCGGAGGACUGUAAAUCCUUAGGUCACCAGUUCAAAUCUGGUUCGAGGGA